rnacentral:rRNA from 1 species
UACGGGGGGGGCAAGCGUUGUUCGGAAUUACUGGGCGUAAAGGGUGCGUAGGCGGCUCUCUAAGUUGGAUGUGAAAACUCUGGGCUCAACCCAGAGCCUGCAUCCAAAACUGGAGAGCUAGGGUUCUGGAGGGGAAAGCGGAAUUCCUGGUGUAGCGGUGAAAUGCGUAGAUAUUAGGAGGAACACCGGUGGCGAAGGCGGCUUUCUGGACAGAUACCGACGCUGAGGCACGAAAGCUAGGGGAGCAAACAGG